UGCGCGUGCUAUACAUGCAGUCGAGCGGACAGAUGGGAGCUUGCUCCCUGAUGUUAGCGGCGGACGGGUGAGUAACACGUGGGUAACCUGCCUGUAAGACUGGGAUAACUCCGGGAAACCGGGGCUAAUACCGGAUGCUUGUUUGAACCGCAUGGUUCAAACAUAAAAGGUGGCUUCGGCUACCACUUACAGAUGGACCCGCGGCGCAUUAGCUAGUUGGUGAGGUAAUGGCUCACCAAGGCAACGAUGCGUAGCCGACCUGAGAGGGUGAUCGGCCACACUGGGACUGAGACACGGCCCAGACUCCUACGGGAGGCAGCAGUAGGGAAUCUUCCGCAAUGGACGAAAGUCUGACGGAGCAACGCCGCGUGAGUGAUGAAGGUUUUCGGAUCGUAAAGCUCUGUUGUUAGGGAAGAACAAGUACCGUUCGAAUAGGGCGGUACCUUGACGGUACCUAACCAGAAAGCCACGGCUAACUACGUGCCAGCAGCCGCGGUAAUACGUAGGUGGCAAGCGUUGUCCGGAAUUAUUGGGCGUAAAGGGCUCGCAGGCGGUUCCUUAAGUCUGAUGUGAAAGCCCCCGGCUCAACCGGGGAGGGUCAUUGGAAACUGGGGAACUUGAGUGCAGAAGAGGAGAGUGGAAUUCCACGUGUAGCGGUGAAAUGCGUAGAGAUGUGGAGGAACACCAGUGGCGAAGGCGACUCUCUGGUCUGUAACUGACGCUGAGGAGCGAAAGCGUGGGGAGCGAACAGGAUUAGAUACCCUGGUAGUCCACGCCGUAAACGAUGAGUGCUAAGUGUUAGGGGGGUUUCCGCCCCUUAGUGCUGCAGCUAACGCAUUAAGCACUCCGCCUGGGGAGUACGGUCGCAAGACUGAAACUCAAAGGAAUUGACGGGGGCCCGCACAAGCGGUGGAGCAUGUGGUUUAAUUCGAAGCAACGCGAAGAACCUUACCAGGUCUUGACAUCCUCUGACAAUCCUAGAGAUAGGACGUCCCCUUCCGGGGCAGAGUGACAGGUGGUGCAUGGUUGUCGUCAGCUCGUGUCAUGAGAUGUUGGGUUAAGUCCCGCAACUAGCGCAACCCUUGAUCUUAGUUGCCAGCAUUCAGUUGGGCACUCUAAGGUGACUGCCGGUGACAACCCGAAGAAAAGGU
rnacentral:rRNA from 1 species